GUGCUCACUUCAGUAGCACAUAUACUAAAAUUGAAAUGAUACAAAGAGGAUUAACAUGACCCUUGUGCAAAGAUGACAUGCAAAUACAUCAAGCAUUUAAUAUUUUU
ensembl:snRNA U6 U6 spliceosomal RNA